rnacentral:lncRNA from 1 species
GCCCAAUCUUUACCUUUCUCCUUUUGGCAACGUUUUGUCAGCAAUGGACAGCGGGAAAUGGACAUAGAAGAAAAGGAGACAGGGAGCCCCUCUGGUGGCAUGGAUUGGAGCUUUGGGCAGCUAUCGAGGUUCAAUUCCUGAAUAGAGGUAAGGUGUUAAAGCCCUUUGUAGUCCAGAGUUUUGAGAUUUGGAAGACUCCCAAUGCCCAGCUUGGUAAUAGUGGAUGGCAGCAGCUGCUCAUCUGGAAAGAACUCCAUAUCUCCUCCAUUCAUCAUGAAAUGUGUAAGACAGUGGAGUUUGUGCAAUCCCCAUUCCAUUCGACUAGCAAUAAGUUUAUUACAAUCAUUAAUUUCAAGAUAUUUUAAUUUGAAUGGCAAGCCCCCUUCUGGAAAUGACUCAAUCUCUGGACAAUUUGAAACACUCAAAUAGUCGAGGGAUGGGAGAAGGGAGUGCAUAUGCUCGGGGAGUGACUUUAAAUUUUUGCAAUUGUGGAGAGAAAGCGUUGUCAGGUUAGGGGCAGAUAAUCCUCUUUGGGGAAAAGAUACAAAAUUAGGACAGUCGGAUAUACAUAUAUCAUCAAGAGAUUGGAGAUGCUGCUGGUCAGGUCCCUCUAAUGCAGAUAAGAACUUGAUGUUUGUACAAUGCUUGAACAGGCAUUUAUUCAGGUUAGGAAAAGAGCCUAAUGGGAAUGAUUUUAGUGAAUCAUGGGCUCCAAUUAGCUUCAAUACUUGCAGAGAUGUGUACAAGAGGAUUCUAGAAAAAUCAAGCUCACCGCAGUUAUCAAUCUUCAAUCUCUUUAAGGAAACAGGUAGACGACCUUCAGGAAGGCACUCAAGAGAACAACUUCUAAUAGAAAGUUGUUCAAGACGAGUGCAGUGCUGCAGCAUCAUCUCCAGCAUGGAAUGUUGGACACUGCAUUCUUCAAUUUUUAAUUCUUGCAGCUCUGUUGGUAGUGCCUGCAGCUGCAUUUUAUCACAACUCACUAACUUCAGUUUACACAUGUCAGGAGCCCUCGGGAGACAACUAGCAAGCCUCUCACAAUUUUCAAUCCAAAGUUUUCUUAGAAGAGGAAGUGUUUUAGGUAGAUCUCCAGUCAGCUUUGGACAAUCUAUUAUGUAUAGUUCUUGGAGACUAGAGAAAGUUCCAUUUUCAUCUCCCAAACACAACCACUCUUGCCACUCCUGCAUCUUCUCGAACGUCAGUAUUUCAAGUGAUUCAAAGGGCUUUACACUAGAACCAUUCCCAUAGAACUCAGAAGCUACAGCAGUUACUCGAGCAAGUCUUCUGAUAUGCAGCUUCUUCAAAGAUCGAAGAUGUCCAAGAGCUGGCAAGUACAAGCAAUGCUCACAAUUGCUCAACUCCAUGCAUGCGAUUUUUGAAAAGGAAUGAUGUCCCACCCAUUCUGGAAAUUGUGCACUUCCAUAACCGAAAAUUUUGAGGUGUUCCAGAUCUGGAGAAGGCUGUAGCUGCUCAAGUACAUUUCUUUCAUGUUCUAAAUCUCUCUGAGGCACAAAGUUAGGUACAUCUGCCUUUUCAGCGCUCCAACGCAACACUAAUUUUUGCAGUUUCUUUUUACCCUUCAAAUCGGCCUUCAAAGCAUCUCCAGAAAAACCAACAUUCUGUAAAUUCGAAAUGGAAAGAGUUCCACGAAGAUGUUGGAGCUCCCCUAACUCGCUGAUGCUGGACCCACUGUGUUUGCCUACAACAAAUGUAGUUAACUUGUGCAAAUCUUUUAGAUCACCCAUAUGUGCUGGCAUCUCUUUCAACUUCGUGCCUCUAAGAUCAAGAUGUUGCAAAUUGGUUAACCUUCCCAAUUUGGUAGGCAACUCAACAAGGUCGUGGCAAUAGGAUAGUAAUAGAAUUUGCAAAUGAAACAGAGCACUCACCGAUUCAGGCAAUAUUUUGAUACGAUUAAAAGAGAGAUUAAGAUAACGUAAUAACUUCAAAUUGCCAAACGAAUUCGGCAACACAUCGAAAUUUUGAUACUGAGAUAAAGAGAGCACUUUUAAGCACCCUAACUUGGGCAGCAGAUCCUGUGUUACAAUGUCACUAACACUUCUCCGGAGCACCCAAUCAUACUUAUUAUAUUUGUCUAGAGGCAAAAAAGUUCGCAAAUACUUGGCUUCAUUCAAGGCUUCAAAUUUUUUAGAUGUAUCACAAUGUGUAAGCAGAUAAGAGAAAUGACGAGUCCUUUUAUUAAUUUCACAAGAGCCAUCAUCCUCAAACCUUGCGAAAAAUUUCCCCGAUACAAACUUAGCCAAAUCAUUUAUUAGGUCAUGCAUAACAAACCACGUUCUCGAAGAACCACUUGAUCGCUGAAAAAACGACCUUGAUGCAAGCUCGUCAAAGUAGUCAUCGCCUACUUCUUCCAACAUCGUGCCUUUUCCUUUGGCGUGGUCUAAUAAGCCUUCUCCCAUCCACAAUAGAACUAAUUCUUCCUUCUUAAAUCUGUAAUCCUUGGGGAAAAGUGAACAGAAUGCAAAGCAUGGUUUUAGAUACGAAGGAAGAUAGUGAUAACUCAACCUUAGGGCUGGAAGAAUAUCACUUUCAUCAUCCGAAAACUCCCAAAUAUCACUCUUCAGUAUCUUGUCCCAUUCCCUGGCACCAACUUUCAUGCGUAACAGACCCCCAAGGGUUUUUAUGGCUAAAGGUAGGCCUUUGCACUUUUUCACAAUUUCUCUACCCAUGGCUUCUAAUUCAGGACGAAUAGUAGUAUUUCCACUGCCGCUGCACACAUGCUUGGUGAAUAAGGACCAGCAAUCUCUCUCCAAUAACUGCUUUAGAUUAUAACUUGAUGUUGUAGUUCUCAUGACAGAUGCAACACCUUCGUCACGAGUUGUCACGAUGAUCUUACUACCUUCUGCUGCAGACUUAAGAGGGCGUUUCAGUGCUUCCCAAUCAGCAUAUUUCUUGUUCCAAACAUCAUCUAGAACAAGAAGAAAUUUCCUUCCCUGAAGUCUGUCCUUUAAAUGAAUCUGGAGCAGAUUAAGGUCCUUUAUAUCACAAGUAGUAGAAGUGAGCCCUUCAAUGAUGGUUCUCGUUACCCUCUGCACAUCAAAUUCUUCUGUGACACAGACCCAUACUUUGCGCUCAAACCACUUUGUCACUGUGCUGUCAUUGUAGACAAGCUGAGCAAGAGUAGUCUUUCCAAGCCCACCCAUGCCCACAAUACUAAUCACUCCUAACUCAUGGCUGUUGAUCUUUUGAGAAUAUUUAUAAGAGAGAAUUUCAUAAAAGAGAUAAAUUGAAAACAAGAAAUGAUUAAUAAUUUCACUGCUGCAGUAAGUGUAUUUAUACACAAAUAUUGAGAGGAUAAAAGCAAGAAACAGUUACUCUAAAAAUAGGGGAUCAAAGACAGCACAACUUAUAACUGCUGUCUUUUAACGGCUCACAACAUGUGGCCUUUAUUUCUAAAAAAAAACUGCUUAACUGCUUAAGGAUAAAAUUCUAAGUCAUGUGUUUUGACAUAUGGACAUCCUUAUCUUUGAAGUGUUGAUGUCAUGCUCUGCAACCGAGACUUUAAAUUCCAUUACACCUCCUUGAAGUCGACGUUGCCCAUUCCCAGUUUGCUUCUAAGCAACUCAAAUUUUUCUCUGCAUAAUCCCUUAGUAAAAAUAUCUGCUAUUUGAUCAUCAGUACCACAGUAAUUUACAACAACUUCAUUGUUCGUCACAGCUUUUCGUAUUACAUGAAACUUUAUCCUGAUGUGUUUGGUUCUACUGUGAUUAAUUGGAUUUUUAGCCAGAGCAAUAGCAGACUGAUUGUCUAACCAGAGAACAGUUGGAUUUAUUUGUUCAAACUUCAAAUCCAAAAGUACCUUUCUAAGCCACAGAGCUUGAUUUGUUGCAGACGCAGCAGCCACAUACUCUGCUUCAGCAGAGGAUUGAGCAACAAUGUCUUGUUUCUUUGAGUUCCAACUGAACAUAGCACUUCCAAAAGAAAAACAAUAUCCACUGGUGCUUUUUGAAUCAUCAUAACUCCCAGCCCAAUCACUAUCACUAUACCCUUCCAAUUCUUUAUUUUCAACUUGUCCAUACAAAAGACCAUAAUUUAGAGUCCCUUUCACAUACCUCAAAACUCGUUUUGCAGCAGUUAAAUGAGUCUUUGUAGGUGAUUGCAUAAAUCGAGAAAGCAGACUAGUGGUAUACAUUAUAUCUGGCCUUGAUGCUGAGAGAUAUAGCAAGCAACCAAUUAAUUUCCUAUACUGAGUAACAUCAACCAAGGUACUUCCAUCAUCUUUACACAGUUUGGUUCCAGUAGUAAGUGGUGUAGACACAGGCUUACAACCUUCCAUCUUAAAUCUUUUUAACAGCUCUCCUGCAUAUUUUUUUUUGAUGCAAGCAGAUAAAGUCUGACCUUUGCUGAAUUUCCAAACCAAGGAAAUAACUCAUUUCACCCAAGUCACUCAUAUCAAACUCAGAUUUCAUUUUAUUUCUGAAGCUGUUCAAAUCAGAUUUAUUUGGUCCAGUUAUAAGUAAAUCAUCUACAUAAACUGAGACAAUAAGUUGGAUUUUACCCAACGAACUCUUCACGUAUAAGGUGGGUUCACUUUCACUGCGAAAGAAUUUGUUACUCCUCAGAUAAGCAUCAAUUUUUUUAUACCAAGCUCUUGGUGCCUGCUUUAAACCGUAAAGAGCCUUGAUCAAUUUACAGACUUUGUCUUCUUUGCCUUUCUCAACAAAUCCUUCAGGCUGCUCGACAUAAAUAUCUUCACUUAUAGUCCCAUUUAAAAACGCAGAUUUAACAUCCAUGUGCCAAAUCCUCCAUUUUUCCCUUCCUGCAAGUGCUACAAGAAGUCUAAUGGUGUCAUGCCUUGCCACUGGAGCAAAAGUCUCAAAAAAAUCCACACCAUGGACUUGAGAAAAACCUCUCACCACCAACCUGGCUUUCAAUUUAUUUAUUGAGCCAUCAGAGUUUAGCUUGGUUCUGAAAAUCCACUUUACACUGAUAACUCUUUGAUGUUUUGGUCUAUCAACCAAAAUCCAAGUUUGGUUUCUUUUAAUCAUUGUCAUUUCAGCCUCCAUAGCAAGUUUCCAUUGUUUAUCAGAUGCAGCUUCAAUAUAGGAACAUGGAUCAGUUAUAGCAACGUUACAUUGCUCAUAAAUAUCUUGUAAAGAUCGAAUUCCUCUUACUGGUAUGUCAUCGAUAUUAUCAUCUAACUCAUGUCCUGCUUCUUCUUCAAAAACAUCCAGGUUUACCGCAACAUUAUCAUUGUUAUUUUCUGCAAUUUCAUUCUUCAUCCAAUUCCAGUGAAUGUCUUCAUUGAACACUACAUCUCGACUUAUGAAAACUUUCUUUGUUUCAACAUUAAACAAUCGAUAUCCUUUUGAAACACUGCUAUAACCCAAGUUGAUUGAGAUUUGGGUUUUUGAGUCCAGUUUGGUUCUUUUCUGCUGGGGAACUUGGGCAUAUGCAAUGCAGCCAAAUACUUUCACAUUUGAAAUAGAUGGUUUAUAUCCAUGCCAAACUUCAAAUGGUGUCAUUGAAUUUAAAGCUGUAGUGGGUAUUAAAUUUUGCAAAGUCACAGCAAAAUUUGCAGCCUCUGCCCAAAAGUAUUUUGGCAUUUGUUGCUCAAAUAAUAGACAUCUGAUCAUCUCCAUAAUAGUACGAUUCUUCGUCUCGCUCACACCGUUUUGCUGAGGACUGUAGGGUACUGUAAGAAAUUGCUUGAUUCCUUCUUGAGUUAACAGGGCUUUAAACUCAUUUGAAGUGUAUUCUGAGCCAUUAUCUGAUCUUAAGGCUUUAAUUUUCUGAUCAGUUUGCUUCUCCACAAGAACUUUGAACUUCAUAAAGUAUUGAAUGGCUUCUGACUUUUGCUUAAGAAAAAAUAUCCAGCAAAACCUACUGAAAUCAUCAAUAAACAAAAUGAAAUAUUUGUUUCCAUUGAGUGAUAAAGUGCCAAUAGGACCACAAAUAUCAGUAUGUAUGAGUUGCAACCGAUUUGUGGCUCGUGUUUGACUUUGUUUAGGAAAAGGAUGCCUGCUUUUCUUGCCCUGUAGACAAACUUCACAUGUUUUCUCAACUUCAGUAAUUACUGGCAUAUCAUUGACAAGAUUCAAAGAUCCCAUGUUCUUUAUCGACUGAUAGUCGAUGUGGCCUAAUCUUUUGUGCCACANUCAUCUUUACACAGUUUGGUUCCAGUAGUAAGUGGUGUAGACACAGGCUUACAACCUUCCAUCUUAAAUCUUUUUAACAGCUCUCCUGCAUAUUUUUUUUUGAUGCAAGCAGAUAAAGUCUGACCUUUGCUGAAUUUCCAAACCAAGGAAAUAACUCAUCUCACCCAAUUCACUCAUAUCAAACUCGGAUUUCAUUUUAUUUCUGAAGCUGUUCAAAUCAGAUUUAUUUGGUCCAGUUAUAAGUAAAUCAUCUACAUAAACUGAGACAAUAAGUUGGAUUUUACCCAACGAACUCUUCACGUAUAAGGUGGGUUCACUUUCACUGCAAAAGAAUUUGUUACUCCUCAGAUAAGCAUCAAUUUUUUUAUACCAAGCUCUUGGUGCCUGCUUUAAACCGUAAAGAGCCUUGAUCAAUUUACAGACUUUGUCUUCUUUGCCUUUCUCAACAAAUCCUUCAGGCUGCUCGACAUAAAUAUCUUCACUUAUAGUCCCAUUUAGAAACGCAGAUUUAACAUCCAUUUGCCAAAUCCUCCAUUUUUCCCUUCCUGCAAGUGCUACAAGAAGUCUAAUGGUGUCAUGCCUUGCCACUGGAGCAAAAGUCUCAAAAAAAUCCACACCAUGGACUUGAGAAAAACCUCUCACCACCAACCUGGCUUUCAAUUUAUUUAUUGAGCCAUCAGAGUUUAGCUUGGUUCUGAAAAUCCACUUUACACUGAUAACUCUUUGAUGUUUUGGUCUAUCAACCAAAAUCCAGGUUUGGUUUCUUUUAAUCAUUGCCAUUUCAGCCUCCAUAAUAAGUUUCCACUGUUUAUCAGAUGUAGUUUCAGUAUAGGAACUUGGAUCAGUUAUAGCAACGUUACAUUGCUCAUAAAUAUCUUGUAAAGAUCGAAUUCCUCUUACUGGUAUGUCAUCGAUAUUAUCAUCUAACUCAUGUCCUGCUUCUUCUUCAAAAACAUCCAGGUUUACCGCAACAUUAUCAUUGUUAUUUUCUGCAAUUUCAUUCUUCAUCCAAUUCCAGUGAAUGUCUUCAUUGAACACUACAUCUCGACUUAUGAAAACUUUCUUUGUUUCAACAUUAAACAAUCGAUAUCCUUUUGAAACACUGCUAUAACCCAAGUUGAUUGAGAUUUGGGUUUUUGAGUCCAGUUUGGUUCUUUUCUGCUGGGGAACUUGGGCAUAUGCAAUGCAGCCAAAUACUUUCACAUUUGAAAUAGAUGGUUUAUAUCCAUGCCAAACUUCAAAUGGUGUCAUUGAAUUUAAAGUUGUAGUGGGUAUUAAAUUUUGCAAAGUCACAGCAAAAUUUGCAGCCUCUACCUAAAAGUAUUUUGGCAUUUGUUGCUCAAAUAAUAGGCAUCUGAUCAUCUCCAUAAUAGUACGAUUCUACAUCUCGCUUACACCGUUUUGCUGAGGACUGUAGGGUACUGUAAGAAAUUGCUUGAUUCCUUCUUGAGUUAACAGGGCUUUAAACUCAUUUGAAGUGUAUUCUGAGCCAUUAUCUGAUCUUAAGGCUUUAAUUUUCUGAUCAGUUUGCUUCUCCACAAGAACUUUGAACUUCAUAAAGUAUUGAAUGGCUUCUGACUUUUGCUUAAGAAAAAAUAUCCAGCAAAACCUACUGAAAUCAUCAAUAAACAAAAUGAAAUAUUUGUUUCCAUUGAGUGAUAAAGUGCCAAUAGGACCACAAAUAUCAGUAUGUAUGAGUUGCAACCGAUUUGUGGCUCGUGUUUGACUUUGUUUAGGAAAAGGAUGCCUGCUUUUCUUGCCCUGUAGACAAACUUCACAUGUUUUCUCAACUUCAGUAAUUAUUGGCAUAUCAUUGACAAGAUUCAAAGAUCCCAUGUUCUUUAUGAACUGAUAGUUGAUGUGGCCUAAUCUUCUGUGCCACAACCUAGCUUCAUUUGAAACACAUUUAUAAGCCAUAUGACCUGCUUCAUUCAAAUCUAAUGGGAAACAUUUGUUUCUCGUUUUUACAGUUGCUAUUUCUCUACCAGAUGGGUCAAAAAUCGUGCACAGUUCAUCUUUGAACAAAAGUGAAUUUUUUUCUUUCACUAACUGCCCUACACUUAGAAGGUUUUGAGUAACUUCAGGUGCAAAGCAAACAUUUGCAAUGGUUUUCAUACCUUUCUUAGUAGUGAUACCAACAGUGCCACGACCUUCAAUUUUUAGCAAAUUUCCAUCUCCAAUUUCCACAGUUGACUUGUAGGCUUUAUUUAGAUCAAGAAAAUUCUUAAUCUUACCUGUAAUAUGCGUGGAGCAGGCACUAUCAAUCAACCAAAUACUGUCUUUUUUUGAGUCAUUUGAUUCAAUAACCAUAAAUAGUGUUUCUUCAGCAUCUUCCUUUUGUUCCACAAUUGCAGCUUUUUCUUCAACCCAAUUUUCUUUGUUUUUGCAAACUUUUUCAACAUGUCCCUUUUGAUUGCAAGCUCUACAUUUUACAUGAGGCCUAUACCAACAAUAUCUCUCAAUGUGAUUCUUCUUUUUGCAAUAGGAACAUGGUGGAAAUUGCCCUUUCUUUCUUUGUUUCUUUUCUUCAUACCUCUUAUCUUUGUCUUUCUUCUCAUGUUCAGACUUCUUGUGACUUCCACUACUGGUUCGUUUGUCAACUCUUCUUGCAGCCAAGGCUGCUUCAACAUGGUCUUCUUGCCUUAAUGCUCUGCGUUGCUCUUGAGCUUGUAAAGCAUUUAUUAAUUCUGAUACUGACAUAGUUGUCAGGUCCUUAGAAUCCUCUAGAGAGGAAAUUUUUGAUUCGAAUUUUUCAGGCAAACUUACCAAAAAUUUAUUGACAACUCUUCUUUCUGUUAUAUUUUCACCAAAUAGUCUUAAUUGAUUUACAACUCUUAAAACUUUAUCAGAAUAAUCCUUCAUCGUUUCUUCAUCUUUCAUUUUUAGCACUUCAAAUUCUCUCAACAAAUUUAAAAUCUGUAUUUGCCUUGUACGAUCACUACCAUGAAACUCUUCCUUUAUCUUGUCCCAAGCUUCCUUUGCAGAUUCACAUGCCAUGAUCCUUACAAAGAUUGCAUCCGUGACAGCAGAGUGGAUGCAAGACAAAGCUUUAAAUCGUUUUGCUACUUCUUCAUUGUAUUGCUUCAUUUGAGCAAUUGUUGGGUUGGCUUGUCGGGCAGGAGGAUCUCCUCCUACUUCCACAAAUUCCCACAAGUCGAAGGCCUUUAGAUAUGCCUUCAUUUUUACAGCUCACAUGGGAUAAUUGUUGCCAUUGAAAACUGGAGGAGCAGCAAUGCUGUAAUUGGAGGAAGCCAUUUAUUUUUGAAGUCUGACAGAAAGAACAGAUAAAGAAAAAAAAUUUUGUAAAAGAUAAAUGUUUUGAAACUAUUUUGCCAAGGUCCCCUAAGAUCACUCAAAAACGCUCUGAUACCAUGUUGAUCUUUUGAGAAUAUUUAUAAGAGAGAAUUUCAUAAAAGAGAUAAAUUGAAAACAAGGAAUGAUUAAUAAUUUUACUGCUGCAGUAAGUGUAUUUAUACACAAAUAUUGAGAGGAUAAGAGCAAGAAACAGUUACUCUAAAAAUAGGGGAUCAAAGACAGCACAACUUAUAACUGCUGUCUUUUAACGGCUCACAACAUGUGGCCUUUAUUUCAAAAAAAACUGCUUAACUGCUUUAGGAUAAAAUUUUAAGUCAUGUGUUUUGACAUACGGACAUCCUUAUCUUUGAAGUGUUGAUGUCAUGCUCUGCAACCGAGACUUUAAAUUCCAUUAAUGGCAACUUGCAUCAUCUGAAAGCAGCAUCUUAAUUAAAGCCUCUCUGUCAUCAUUCCUGCCAUACACUUCAGAUGCAUAUACCAAAGAGGUUGUUGGUAAUUUUGGUGGCUUUUUUUCCCUGACAUCAUUUCGUAGGCCGAGGAUAUUAAUUUGUUUUCCAAUGUGUUCUAGUCUUUUGAAGAUCUCUUCCAACUUUGGGUUCAUCCUCUCAGGAAAAGAGAAAACGUUUGGUACCCGAGACGCCCAGGUGGUUUGAGGCUCUUCUUUCAGCUUGCGCAAAAAAGUGAGCGAUGCAAUCUCCUCCAGUAUGUCUUCUGCAUCAUAGACAGCAUCUUUAAGCUCAUCGAGCCAGUUUUUCACAGCCUGAUUUUUCAUCUGCUUUUCCUCUGCGUCAUUCAGUACUGCCUCAAGGGACAACAGGGUUAUCUGUAGUUUCUUCAGCAUUUCAUCAUUGACACUGCCGCUAAAGAAGUUCAAUACCUCAGGAGAUGCCAUUCUAUCAAACAACGCGCCGAAUAAGCUAGACAGAAAUGCUCCUCCUACCAAUUCUGCAGCCAUAGUUUCUCCUUUGGGAUGGAAGUGAUUGUGAUGAGAAGGUGAAAGCAACUGCAAUCGAUGGGGAAGAAAGGGGAAAACUUAUGAUCAGGUUCUGUUGCUCAAAGUCCCUGGUAUGUUGUGGAAGGAUACACAAACUUCAACUGAUUUUUCCAAAUUGAAAGCUACAAAAUUAUUUCCAACAAGAUUAGAGAUUGGGUAUUAUUCGCAAGGAGUGGGCCACAGAACUUUAUUUGCUUUCGGUGCAAAUUCAUUUGUUUGUCUUCAACGUUGGGCGGUACUGAAGGUUCUGAGUGAUAAAGUGAAUAACUGAGUGAGGAAAGAAAAUUGCUUGCAGACUAUCUUUUCCAUGUGGCGAUACAAAGAUUCCUUCUGCGAAAUUUCGUGGAAUUUUCUUUUGACUUGCUUAUCUAACAAGUUGUGUGGAAUUUGCUUUUGCUUUACUUUUGGAUAUGAAAACUACAUGGGUCAGUCGGCGUGUACCGCACCGUAAGAUGGAGGAUUUUACACCCAAAGCUCUGCUUCCAUAGGUGCAUCCCCUUAAUUUGCCAAGCCAAAACGGCCCCUCCCCUUUAAUCAAAUCAUGUACAGUCUUCUUCUCUAUUAAUAACAGCCAUUUUGCAUCCAUGAAGUUCCAACAAUUAAAUACAAGUGCAUGUCAUAAACACUAGCAUGCUGCUAAAGUUCAAAUAAGAAGCUCAAAAUCAAAUGCCUUUUCCUUAUUCAGAUGGAUUUCUGUGACUUUAAAUAGGCACAAAAUAAUCACUGUUUUGAGAGAUGUACUCUUCAUUUUUAUAAGAUAAGAUAAUUUCAUGAGAUAUACAAACAUACCCACAUGCAAAAAAUUCGAUGAAGUUUAGACUAAAAAUAAUAUUUCAAUGUAAUUAAAUCUAAUAGCCUUGCUUUUGUAAUGUUGGGAAUAUCAUUAGCUUUGAUCCUUAAAAUCUUAAUUUUAAAUUUCGAAGUAGGUUCCUUUAAUUAUAAACACAUUUCACUGCAUCCAAAUAAAAAUUAACCCACUUUAUUAGACUUCAAUGCUUUUUUCAUUAUUAAAAAGGCCCGGUAAUAAAAAUGACCUCAAGACAAAUAAGUACAUGAUGAGAGGAUUAGUCUUCCUUAUUAAAAGAAAAGAAAAGUUGAACAUGGAAUAGUUUUUGGUGUUAGGUUUGCUCUUCAAAUAAUGGUGGUUCAGAGCCCAGAAAUGACAAGAAAAUGAGAACAUGGAGCUCUCAUCUUUUCCAACAGACGAGACAUUUAAUAUUCAUUCCAAGGAGUGGACCACAGAACUUUUUGUGUGCAAAUACAUCUGUCUGUCUUCAAUGAGGAGCUCUAUUGGAAGUUUCUGAGUGGAUGGUCUAUGAAUGGACACAGAAGGACGACCAACUCUAAUGGGGUUCGGUGAGGAAAUUGCUUUCCGGUUCAGUGCAAUUUGCUUUUGGUUGUCUUGUCAAUUUCACUAGAGUGGUCCCUCGCUUCGCGUGGGUGUAUUUUUAAUAAAACAAUAAUUUUAAAUUACAUAAUAUCAUAAAUAAAAAUAAUAAUAGCGAAAAGAGAGUAAUUUUAAUUUAGAAAAAUUAUAAAUAAUAAUAAAUUAAAGAUAAUUAUUUUAAAAUAUUGAUAUUUUAAAAAUAUUUUCUUAUAUCUUAUCAAGUAAAUUUUUUUAUUUAAAUAAUUUUUAAUUUUUAAAAACAUUUGAUUUUUUAUACUUUAAUAUAUGUUAAUAGUAAUAUAAUCAUAUUUUGUUAAUUACGAUGAUUAUAAUAGAGAAAUUAAAUUAAAAUUAAGAAAAUUAAUAUAUUGAAAGUCAUUAUUCAUAAACUACAUAAUUUAUAUAAGUAGCCAAAUAAAAAAAACUACAUAAUUUAUAUAAUAAAAUUAUUAAAAUAAAAUGAAUAUUUUUUGGAAAGUCAAAAUAAAAUGAAUAUUAAUUACGCAUAUUAAAAUUUUCUUAAUUUUAAUGAUGAAAUUUUGUAAAUUAUCUUCAAUUUUAAUUACUACGUUUUUAUCUUAUACCUUUAUAAUUAUUUAGAAUUAAUCCACUAAAAAUAAUUUUGCAAUCCCCCAAUAAUUUUAGUAAGUCAUUAUUAACUUUAUUUAAUUAAUUAUUUUAUUUUUUAUUACUUAUCCAAAAAAUAGUUUCAUUGUUUUAUUCUUAUCUCUUUUUUAAAUUAAUUUUAUAAAUUUAAUUNNNNNNNNNNNNNNNNNNNNNNNNNNNNNNNNNNNNNNNNNNNNNNNNNNNNNNNNNNNNNNNNNNNNNNNNNNNNNNNNNNNNNNNNNNNNNNNNNNNNNNNNNNNNNNNNNNNNNNNNNNNNNNNNNNNNNNNNNNNNNNNNNNNNNNNNNNNNNNNNNNNNNNNNNNNNNNNNNNNNNNNNNNNNNNNNNNNNNNNNNNNNNNNNNNNNNNNNNNNNNNNNNNNNNNNNNNNNNNNNNNNNNNNNNNNNNNNNNNNNNNNNNNNNNNNNNNNNNNNNNNNNNNNNNNNNNNNNNNNNNNNNNNNNNNNNNNNNNNNNNNNNNNNNNNNNNNNNNNNNNNNNNNNNNNNNNNNNNNNNNNNNNNNNNNNNNNNNNNNNNNNNNNNNNNNNNNNNNNNNNNNNNNNNNNNNNNNNNNNNNNNNNNNNNNNNNNNNNNNNNNNNNNNNNNNNNNNNNNNNNNNNNNNNNNNNNNNNNNNNNNNNNNNNNNNNNNNNNNNNNNNNNNNNNNNNNNNNNNNNNNNNNNNNNNNNNNNNNNNNNNNNNNNNNNNNNNNNNNNNNNNNNNNNNNNNNNNNNNNNNNNNNNNNNNNNNNNNNNNNNNNNNNNNNNNNNNNNNNNNNNAUUACAUUAUACUUUUUAUAAAAUAAAAAAUUUUAUUAAAAUAAUUAUUUAAAAUUAUUUAUAUAAGGUUAAAAUAGUUUUUAAUUAUUAAUUUUUAAGAGGUUAAUAAAUGUAUCACGUAUACACGUUUAAACAUGAUAACACGAUUAAACACGAAAACACGAUUAAGUAAACGUGUUUAAACGUGUUUGUCAUGUCUGACACAUUAAGACAUGAAAAUUUCGUGUCUUAACAUGUCAGAUACGAUUAGACACGAAACACGUUAAGGCUAAAUCCAAAACCUGUUUAACUCGUAUCUUCUCGUGUGGUGUUAACGUGUCGUGUACAAAAUUACCAAAUCUAGUGAUCUGCUAUAUACCAAAAUGCUCCAUCUUUUCAUCUAGAUUUAAACUUAAGUAUAAGCAAUUUCUUUCUUUCUUUUUUUAUAUCUAAUAUAGAAUAUAAUUAUUCUAUUUUUAUAAUUAACUAUAUUUAAUUUUACAAAAACGAAAAGAAUGACAAGAGAGAGGCUUUCUUUAAAAUUAUAACAAUAAAUAAAAAAGAGAGUGGUGUGAAUAAAAAUACAUGAGACUUUAGAGUUCAAUCUCUUUCGAUCCCCAUUGGUCAGCGAGCUUAACAUGAUUCUUCUCCUUUUAAACCAUUUCAAUUGUAAGUCCAUAUUCACUUAUCAUGAACUCUUACUCACCGAAUCCCCACUCUCUUAUGAUGACGUGGUCAAAUCUAAAAGCAGCUUUAAGUCUUCUUUUUAUAUAUGUUAUAGAUUACUUAUGCGAAAUUCCCUGGAAUUUGCUUUUGGUUUUCUCAUCUAGCAAUUGUGUGGAAUUUGCUCUUUCUUGACCCUUGGAUGUGGAAGAUUAAUAAUAAAAAAAGACUACUUGAGUCGCUAGUCGUGUGUGGUACCGUAAGAGAGAAUAUACGAGCAUGGAAAUUACACCCAAAGCCCUGCUUUCCAUAGCUAUAUCCCCUUCAUUUCCCAAGCCAAAACAGCCCCUCCCUGUUUAAGUUUUUAAAGUGAAUGAAUUUAGAGAGAGAAAGCUUGUGAAAACGAUGAACCAGCUGAGAGAGAAAGAGCAUUUGCUUGGUAUCUCCCUUAUGAAAGGCAUAACCCGAGUACAUGAGAGAGACAAAGAUUCAUCAACAUUAAAAAAACAAAACAGCCAAUGACAGAAGCGGACACGGCGACGCGCACCACACCACAACACGUGGAUAGUAGACAAAAGCCACAAAAUGGUAACGCAGCAAAUGUUAAAAGGAAUAAAGCAUGAUAGCUAAACGGUGCCGCAUUAAUCUCCCCUAAAAUGGAUCACGUGGAACUGCACACCUGACUUCUUCUCCUUCACCAAUUCGAACCCUAUUUUGGCGCGAACCUCCAUAGCUAUCAGAGGGCGCAAACGCUGUUGUUAAGACACAACUCAAUUUCAACACUCCCCUUUAAUCAAAUCACGACCAAUCUUCUUCUCUUUUAAUAACAACCAUUUUACGUUCAUGAUGUUGCAACUUUUGUGCCCAAAUGGUUGAAAUGCUAUCAUGGCUGAUUCAAACACCAUGUCACACAAUAAUGCCAAAGAACAAACCAAAAAUCACUGUUUUCAGAGACAUACUCUUCCUUUUUUAUAAGAUAACUAAUUUCACUGUUCUAAUCAAUAUUAACUUCGAGUUUCUUAAUUAUUAAUCUUUAGCCAGUAUUCAGAGACAUACCUUUAGCCAGUUUCUAAGGUAAUGUUGGCACUACCAUCAGUUUUGAUCCUUAAAAUCUGGAUUUUAAACUUCAAAGUAGGAUCCCUUAAUUAUAAACACAUUUCACUGCAUUCAAAUAGAUAUCCACGUUAUUAAACUUCAAUGAUUUUGUUUGUUUGUCCGUGAAACAAAGCCAGACAAAGAUAAAAGUAGCCCAAGUUGUAACUUUGAGGCUUUAACAUUGACGGUAGAUACAAGUUUUACUCGUGAAGCAAACCCCAUAAACUGGAGCUCCAUAUUUCCCAGUUCUCCCAAAAUGCUGAAUGCAAAGAUUAUUGCAUUCAUCUUGUGUGCAGCCUGGAUUUGGAAAUGACUGCUCACACUCUCAGCUCUGUCCCAUCAUCAGCUGAUUGCCUGUAAUCAUAAAACACACGUCUGAUUAAUGAUUAAUCUGCACACCAUUCAAAGGCUCAUUUCUUUACAGUUCUAUCCUACUUUUGUUUUUUAAUGCUAAAGGGCUGCAUAGAUUUAGUGAAUAAUGGAAACCUUACCAAAAGAAAGUAACAGAAGCAGUAAAACGGCGGAGAAGGAGAAGGAGAAGCUCCUCAUGGCUUCAAUUUGUUUUGUCUGUGGCAGUGCGUUGGUUCAAGACUACAGGGACCGUAUGGUUUCUGCUAUUUAAAAGAAGUUGAGAAUGUAAGAUUCAUUGCUUGGAAUUCUAAGUUCUUGUUGCUUUUGACAUAAAAGGGAAGAUAUAUGCUGGAUCAAGGUUGUUUUCUUCGAUUAUAUCCAACAAAUAUAGUUGUAAAAUUCAUCAUACAUGGAAGUUGAAUUAUAGUGAUUACUCGUAUAUGGUCAGACACCUGAAUUUCCAACUAGAAAAAUAGUAAAAACUUGUGUUGAGCCUAAGACAGUAAAUUACAAAGAUUCACAAUGACAUAACAACUAAAGCAAAAAAAAACAAUGUCCAAUGAUCACAAAGUAAAUUUGGGUCUUAUGUUUCUUAUAACAGAUAUGGUAGAAUGCAUCACCAAAUGCAAAAAUGCCUCUGAUAGAAGAUAUGAACUCACUUGAACUGCCAUCAGCAGCUCUCAAAUUAAAAACAAAUGUUCAUAGACCUGGAAGCUCUCAAAUUGCAUGCCAAGAUGGAUUUUGAAAAAAUAAUAAAUGAAUGAGCAAAGGAAUAGAACUUCCAAACAAUGAUUUGGAAGUUCAACUUCAUGCCAGAAAAACAGAGCCAAAUGCAAUUGUACUAAACAAAUACAACUUCAGCAGCCUCACACUUUCCUGGUCUUUUUAACCUUUUCUUGUUUUCUUUCUUCUAAAUAAAAGAAAAAAAAAAAGAAAUACAGAAAAACCUAUUAAGAUUAGGGCAUUCUUUAUGGAAAGAUAAAAAUAUAAAAACAUACUGAUUAAGUUAAAGCUGUUACUGAUAGACUAGCCAAUUAAGGAAUAUCACACAAUAAAAGUUCAAAAUGAUGCAUGCAGUAAAUUAGGAGAAAGAAGAAAAAAGAAUUAAGCAAUUGAGCUAUUACACUAAAAAGAAAUGCGAAAAUAAACUCCACUGAAAGGCCUCAAUAAUGUUCAUGAAAGAACUUUUAAAACAAAAAAUAUAUAGUAAAUAAAGAUAUACAUUAUAGACAAAACUCAAAAGUAUACGAAAUGAAACGAAUGAUUAACAAAUGUUAUUAUGUAGAGUGCAGAUGGGAUACCUGAGCCAAAUGAAUUCUCUGAGACAUUGAGUUUAGGCGAUGAUGACUUGACCAUCAAUUGUUAUCGAUGGGAUGUGGGAAAUCUUGGCCCAAUCUUUACCCUUCUCCUUUUGGCAACGUUUUGUCAGCAAUGGACAGUCGGAAAUGGAUAUAGAAGAAAGGGAGACAGGGAGCCCCUCUGGUGGCAUGGAUUGGAGCUUUGGGCAAAAAUUGAUGUCCAAUUCCUGAAUAGAGGUAAGGUGUUGAAGCCCUUUGUAGUCCAAAGUCUUGAGAUUUGGAAGCCACGAAAUGUGAAGAUUGGUAAUAGUGGAUGGCAGCAGCUGCUCAUCCGGAAAGAACUCCAUAUCUCCUCCACUCAUUUUGAAAUAUG